rnacentral:rRNA from 1 species
CGUGGAGACAGGUGGUGCAUGGCUGUCGUCAGCUCGUGUCGUGAGAUGUUGGGUUAAGUCCCGCAACGAGCGCAACCCUCACCCCUAGUUGCCACCGGGUAAAGCCGAGCACUCGAGGGGAACUGCCAGCGUCAAGCUGGAGGAAGGCGGGGAUGACGUCAAGUCAUCAUGCCCCUUACGCCCUGGGCUACACACGUGCUACAAUGGCCGGUACAAAGGGACGCGAGACUGCAAGGUGGAGCUAAUCCCAAAAAACUGGUCUAAGUUCAGAUUGCAGUCUGCAACUCGACUGCAUGAAGGAGGAAUCGCUAGUAAUCGCGCAUCAGCACGGCGCGGUGAAUACGUUCCCGGGCCUUGUACACACCGCCCGUCACACCACGAAAGCUGUCUGUACUCGAAGUCGCUGAG